rnacentral:tRNA from 1 species
GCCUGGAUAGCUCAGUUGGUUAAGCGUCCGACUUCAGCUCAGGUCCUGAUGUCACAGUUCGUGAGUUCGAGCCCCGCUUCAGGCU